CGCGAACGCACCUUCGGGUGUUAUUAGAGUGGCGGACGGGUGAGUAACACGUGGGAACAUGCCUUUCGGUACGGAACAACGCUUGGAAACGAGUGCUAAUACCGUAUACGCCCUUAGGGGGAAAGAUUUAUCGCCGAAAGAUUGGCCCGCGCUAGAUUAGCUAGUUGGUAAGGUAAUGGCUUACCAAGGCGACGAUCUAUAGCUGGUUUGAGAGGAUGAUCAGCCACACUGGGACUGAGACACGGCCCAGACUCCUACGGGAGGCAGCAGUGGGGAAUAUUGGACAAUGGGGGCAACCCUGAUCCAGCGAUGCCGCGUGAGUGAUGAAGGCCUUAGGGUUGUAAAACUCUUUCAGAUGGGAUGAUAAUGACAGUACCAUCAGAAGAAGCUCCGGCUAACUCCGUGCCAGCAGCCGCGGUAAUACGGAGGGAGCUAGCGUUGUUCGGAAUUACUGGGCGUAAAGCGCGCGUAGGCGGCUUUGCAAGUAGGGGGUGAAAUCCCGGGGCUUAACCCCGGAACUGCCCUCUAAACUGCAGAGCUAGAAUCCUGGAGAGGUGAGUGGAAUUCCUAGUGUAGAGGUGAAAUUCGUAGAUAUUAGGAAGAACACCAGUGGCGA
rnacentral:rRNA from 1 species